AUUGAACGCUGGCGGCAUGCCUUACACAUGCAAGUCGAACGGCAGCGGGGGAGAAGCUUGCUUUUCCUGCCGGCGAGUGGCGAACGGGUGAGUAAUACAUCGGAACGUGCCCUGUAGUGGGGGAUAACUAGUCGAAGGAUUAGCUAAUACCGCAUACGACCUGAGGGUGAAAGUGGGGGACCGCAAGGCCUCAUGCUAUAGGAGCGGCCGAUGUCUGAUUAGCUAGUUGGUGGGGUAAAGGCCUACCAAGGCGACGAUCAGUAGCUGGUCUGAGAGGACGAUCAGCCACACUGGGACUGAGACACGGCCCAGACUCCUACGGGAGGCAGCAGUGGGGAAUUUUGGACAAUGGGCGAAAACCUGAUCCAGCAAUGCCGCGUGUGUGAAGAAGGCCUUCGGGUUGUAAAGCACUUUUGUCCGGAAAGAAAUGGCUCUGGUUAAUACCUGGGGUCGAUGACGGUACCGGAAGAAUAAGGACCGGCUAACUACGUGCCAGCCGCCGCCGUAACAC
rnacentral:rRNA from 1 species